rnacentral:rRNA from 1 species
GUGUCAGCAGCCGCGGUAAUACGUAGGUGGCAAGCGUUGUCCGGAAUUACUGGGUGUAAAGGGAGCGUAGGCGGGAAGACAAGUUGAAUGUGAAAUCUAUCGGCUCAACCGAUAAACUGCGUUCAAAACUGUUUUUCUUGAGUGAAGUAGAGGCAAGCGGAAUUCCUAGUGUAGCGGUGGAAUGCGUAGAUAUUAGGAGGAACACCAGUGGCGAAGGCGGCUUGCUGGGCUUUUACUGACGCUGAGGCUCGAAAGCGUGGGGAGCAAACAGGAUUAGAUACCCUGGUAGUCCACGCUGUAAACGAUGAUUACUAGGUGUGGGGGGUCUGACCCCUUCCGUGCCGCAGCUAACGCAAUAAGUAAUCCACCUGGGGAGUACGAUCGCAAGAUUGAA